GGCUGGUUAGCUCAGUUGGUUAGAAUGUGGUACUGACAAUGCCAAGGUACAGGGUUCAAUUCUUGUACUGGCCA